CCCCCCCCUCCAACCCCCCCACACUCACGCCUAAAAUCCUUGAUGUUGAACUACAGGAGCUCUGUGGAGGAGAGAAAAAGGAACUAUGUAAAGUGUGGGACUGUGGGACUAUUAAAAACUGCUGAGAGUUGAAGAGGGAUUGCAACCCGGCAGGGACAAAAGGUGGGGGCUCAACUUUUACGACUUUUUUCACUGAGAAAAACUCUUUUUUCUUUGGAGUUUCUUAGUGGGGCUGGAGCGCAGACAGAUUUAUCUAACAUGGCUGCUGCUGUCGGCUGUCGCAACACGGCCGCCUCCCCUGCUCCUGGCCGGCUCUCCUCCUCACUACAGAGAGACGUGGAGUCUCCACAGUUAACUCUCGCGCGUGCCUCUCUCUCUCUCUCAGCUCAACAGGUUCUCCAGCUCAGAGCUGCAGGGAUAUGAAAUUACACCAAGCAGUGGAGCCACAAAGACAAACUAUAUUUGCACUUAGCCGUUUGCAAACAUCAAGGAGGCAUUAGUCAGAUGAGGAAGGGGCUGGUUCUCUGCUUGGUCAGCAACUACCGCUACAUCAACAUACCAGCCGUGACAUGUGACACAUAAAAACACAAACGGACUUAUUCAAAGGGGUACGAGCUAACCACAGGCGGAUCCUACGCGAGGAGGGAAGAUGUUUUACUCGCUCUCCAGCAGCAGGAGCCUAUGAGGUGGGCUCGUUUAAGCAUCACACGUGUCUAAACAACUUCUCUAUUACACCCGAGACCUUUGCGGGCACUCCACAUCGAGAGGGGAACAAAGGCCGUGACCCCGGGGUCAAAAGCUUUACACGGAGGGCCAAGCAGCCCCAUUCAGGGUCCCUCUGAUGUUUGCUUUAAGGAGGUAAAGAUUACUAACACAUUAACUAAUGCCGAUUAGGGGGUUAUCCCUCAUGGGACCGAGGUCCCAGCGCGGCACAUCAUGUCUUAUUAACACAAGCUGACCUUUGACCCCAUCCAUCACCUCACGCAGCAGACUGUGACCGCCACUUUCUGCUUUCACACACGCACAGAGGCGUCAGCGAGCACGAGCGCACCCGAGCACCAAUGCAGACGAGCGCCACUUCACCUCAAAAUAUCACUGCAAGGUCAAAGGUCGUCCAUCAAGUGCAGGACAGCUCAAAUCAUCAGGAAAAGCGCGACAAGUGGGAUUUCCCGAUCAAACCCGAGCCGUGUGAAAUCAUUUGCUUUCUGGGGCUUUGACGUCAGAGUGUGUGCAAGCAAAGUUCAUAAAAUGGGGUCUGUGCAAUAAACUUCUCAUCACAAAAUGGUGGCCAUGAGACAUGCGCAGUGCACAUGUCACUCACACAUCAUAUGCUCAUUA